CGUUCAGUCCGUUGUUUGUGUUGGUCUGAGCUGCACUCAAAACGUUGUGAGACCGAUGGCGGAUCUGGCCAGAGGCAGGUUCCUUGCUGAAGUGUCUUUGCCGAUCGCCCUCCUUGUGAUGGUUUACACAAUGGGAAUUGAAAAUGUGGAGGCACAAGAACGACUGCCAAAGCCGACCCUGACCGUGGAUCCCCCGUCAGGUGCUGUAACACUGGGCGACAAUGUGACACUCACCUGUGCAGCUCCACAACACACUCCU